UAUAUAUAUUUUGGAGUUGAAGCGAGAUAAGUUUAGUUAUUCAAAUUAUUAAUUAUUAAUUCUGAAAAUAUUUAAAAAUUUAAGUUUUCAAAUUUCGCGCCUUUACUACUUAUGCUAUAGCUGCAGAACUUAUUGUUACGGCGGACGAUAAUGUCGAGUACAUUCUAGAAUGUGUAAAAGAAAAUACUCUCGAACUUUUCCGAAUAUGCUAGAGCCUAGCUCUCUGAAUAUAUAAGGGCCCGGUAUCACCCGCCAGAGUUAGUUCGAUUUGAAAAGCGAUUGCGAAAGGAACUGAAAGAAGUUAUCUGUGAGCAUUUAUUUUGAAGUAUCACGUGUCACUAUUUUUAAUAGUGUGUUUAAUUAAUUCUCGAUUUUGAAGCCGAGAAGAAAAAAGUCGUCUGUGAGCCUUUAUUGUGAAAUAUCAAAUAAUACAAUGCCUAGACGUAAAAAAGGAGGAGAUCUUGCCAGUUUUGCAGCGAAACGGCGGAAACAAAAAGAACAUAGAAGAAAUGAAACGGAAGAAGAGCGCGAAGCACGUUUACAAAAUCAACGAACUAGGAUGAGAACUCUGAGAAGCACAAAAAAUGAAGAAAGAAAAGAGAAGAAAGUAUAGAAGAAUCGAGAAUUUUAAAAGAUAAUUUAACAAAGGAAGCAUUCCACUACGAACCGACGAAAAAAUAUUACAAUCAUAAACAUGUUGUGAUCGGAAAAAUGGAUAACAUUUGCCAAUUUUGCCACGCGAAAAAAUUCAGUAAAGAAACAGCAGGACUCUGUUGCAUCAAUGGAAAAAUUCGACUACCACCACUGGAAGCACCUCCACAGGAAUUUCUACAUUACAUGACCGGGGAAACACAAGAAUCAAAACACUUUCUUCAAAAUAUAAGAUUAACCUCAAAGAACCCUGCUUCUCUCACGGUCAGCUAUAUGUAGCUUGCUCAAGGGUAGGAAAUCCGAAAAAUCUAUAUAUAUAUAUAUAUAUAUAUAUAUAUAUAUAUAUAUAUAUAUAUAUAUAUAUAUAUAUAUACUCCAGACAAUAAAAUGAAAAACGUUGUUUAUAAGCAAAUAGUGUAAAAAAUGAGCGAAUGUUUUCAAUAAAUUUUUUUACUAUUA